UACGUAGGGUGCGAGCGUUGUCCGGAAUUAUUGGGCGUAAAGAGCUUGUAGGCGGUUUGUCGCGUCUGCUGUGAAAACCCGGGGCUCAACCCCGGGCCUGCAGCCGAUACGGGCAGACUAGAGUUCGGCAGGGGAGACUGGAAUUCCUGGUGUAGCGGUGAAAUGCGCAGAUAUCAGGAGGAACACCGGUGGCGAAGGCGGGUCUCUGGGCCGAUACUGACGCUGAGGAGCGAAAGCGUGGGGAGCGAACAGG
rnacentral:rRNA from 1 species